rnacentral:rRNA from 1 species
AUUGAACGCUGGCGGCAGGCCUAACACAUGCAAGUCGAGCGAGCGGCGGACGGGUGAGUAAUGUCUGGGAAACUGCCUGCUGGAGGGGGAUAACUACUGGAAACGGUAGCUAAUACCGCAUACCAUCAGAUGUGCCCAGGUGGGAUUAGCUCGUAGGUGGGGUAACGGCUCACCUAGGCGACGAUCCCUAGCUGGUCUGAGAGGAUGACCAGCCACACUGGAACUGAGACACGGUCAAGACUCCUACGGGAGGCAGCAGUGGGGAAGAUUGCACAAUGGGCGCAAGCCUGAUGCAGCCAUGCCGCGUGUGUGAAGAAGGCCUUCGGGUUGGAAAGCACUUUCAGCGGGGAGGCGUUACCCGCAGAAGAAGAACCGGCUAACUCAGUGCCAGCAGCCGCGGUAAUUC